GAUGAACGCUGGCGGCGUGCCUAAUACAUGCAAGUCGAGCGAACAGACGAGGAGCUUGCUCCUCUGACGUUAGCGGCGGACGGGUGAGUAACACGUGGAUAACCUACCUAUAAGACUGGGAUAACUUCGGGAAACCGGAGCUAAUACCGGAUAAUAUAUUGAACCGCAUGGUUCAAUAGUGAAAGACGGUUUUGCUGUUACUUAUAGAUGGAUCCGCGCCGCAUUAGCUAGUUGGUAAGGUAACGGCUUACCAAGGCGACGAUGAGUAGCCGACCUGGGAGGGUGAUCGGCCACACUGGAACUGAGACACGGUCCAGACUCCUACGGGAGGCAGCAGUAGGGAAUCUGCCGCAAUGGGCGAAAGCCUGACGGAGCAACGCCGCGUGAGUGAUGAAGGUCUUCGGAUCGUAAAACUCUGUUAUUAGGGAAGAACAAAUGUGUAAGUAACUAUGCACGUCUUGACGGUACCUAAUCAGAAAGCCACGGCUAACUACGUG
rnacentral:rRNA from 1 species